UACGUAGGGGGCAAGCGUUGUCCGGAUUUAUUGGGCGUAAAGAGUGUGUAGGCGGUGCUCCAAGUCUGUUGUGAAAUCUCCCGGCUUAACCGGGAGGGUGCAGCGGAAACUGGAAUGCUUGAGGGUGGGAGAGGUAAGCGGAAUUCCUGGUGUAGCGGUGAAAUGCGUAGAUAUCAGGAGGAACACCUGUGGUGUAGACAGCUUACUGGACCACUUCUGACGCUGAGACACGAAAGCGUGGGUAGCAAACAGG
rnacentral:rRNA from 1 species